AUUGAACGCUGGCGGCAGGCCUAACACAUGCAAGUUGAGCGGUAACAGAAAGAAAGCUUGCUUUCUAAGUUUAGCGGCGGACGGGUGAGUAACACGUGGGCAACCUGCCUAUAAGACUGGGAUAACUUCGGGAAACCGGAGCUAAUACCGGAUAAUAUAAAAGAUCACAUGGUCUUUUAUUGAAAGAUGGCUUCGGCUAUCACUUAUAGAUGGGCCCGCGGCGCAUUAGCUAGUUGGUGAGGUAAUGGCUCACCAAGGCGACGAUGCGUAGCCGACCUGAGAGGGUGAUCGGCCACACUGGGACUGAGACACGGCCCAGACUCCUACGGGAGGCAGCAGUAGGGAAUCUUCCGCAAUGGACGAAAGUCUGACGGAGCAACGCCGCGUGAACGAUGAAGGCCCUCGGGUCGUAAAGUUCUGUUGUUAGGGAAGAACAAGUAUCGUUCGAAUAGGGCGGUACCUUGACGGUACCUAACCAGAAAGCCACGGCUAACUACGUG
rnacentral:rRNA from 1 species